rnacentral:rRNA from 1 species
AGAGUUUGAUCCUGGCUCAGGAUGAACGCUGGCGGCGUGCCUAACACAUGCAAGUCGAGCGAUUCUCUUCGGAGAAGAGCGGCGGACGGGUGAGUAACGCGUGGGUAACCUGCCUCAUACACAUGGAUAACAUACCGAGAGGUAUGCUAAUACAAGAUGAUAUAAGAGAUUCGCAUGGAUUUCUUAUCAAAGCUCCGGCGGUAUGAGAUGGACCCGCGUCUGAUUAGCUAGUUGGUAAGGUAACGGCUUACCAAGGCGACGAUCAGUAGCCGACCUGAGAGGGUGAUCGGCCACAUUGGAACUGAGACACGGUCCAAACUCCUACGGGAGGCAGCAGUGGGGAAUAUUGCACAAUGGGCGAAAGCCUGAUGCAGCAACGCCGCGUGAGUGAUGAAGGCCUUCGGGUCGUAAAACUCUGUCCUCAAGGAAGAUAAUGACGGUACUUGAGGAGGAAGCCCCGGCUAACUACGUGCCAGCAGCCGCGGUAAUACGUAGGGGGCUAGCGUUAUCCGGAUUUACUGGGCGUAAAGGGUGCGUAGGUGGUCUUUUAAGUCAGGAGUGAAAGGCUACGGCUUAACCGUAGUAAGCUCUUGAAACUGGGAGACUUGAGUGCAGGAGAGGAAAGUGGAAUUCCUAGUGUAGCGGUGAAAUGCGUAGAUAUUAGGAGGAACACCAGUAGCGAAGGCGGCUUUCUGGACUGUAACUGACACUGAGGCACGAAAGCGUGGGGAGCAAACAGGAUUAGAUACCCUGGUAGUCCACGCCGUAAACGAUGAGUACUAGGUGUCGGGGGUUACCCCCCUCGGUGCCGCAGCUAACGCAUUAAGUACUCCGCCUGGGGAGUACGCUCGCAAGAGUGAAACUCAAAGGAAUUGACGG